UGGGGGAUAUUGCACAAUGGAGGAAACUCUGAUGCAGCAACGCCGCGUGAGGGAAGACGGUCUUCGGAUUGUAAACCUAAGUUAUCAGGGACGAAAGAAAUGACGGUACCUGAAGAGAAAGCUCCGGCUAACUACGUGCCAGCAGCCGCGGUAAUACGUAGGGAGCAAGCGUUGUCCGGAUUUACUGGGUGUAAAGGGUGCGUAGGCGGCUAAGCAAGUCAGAUGUGAAAUCUAUGGGCUCAACCCAUAAACUGCAUUUGAAACUGCAUAGCUUGAGUGAAGUAGAGGCAGGCGGAAUUCCCCGUGUAGCGGU
rnacentral:rRNA from 1 species